rnacentral:rRNA from 1 species
GAUGAACGCUGGCGGCGUGCCUAAUACAUGCAAGUCGAGCGAACAGACGAGGAGCUUGCUCCUCUGACGUUAGCGGCGGACGGGUGAGUAACACGUGGAUAACCUACCUAUAAGACUGGGAUAACUUCGGGAAACCGGAGCUAAUACCGGAGAAUAUAUUGAACCGCAUUGGUCAAUAGUGAAAGACGGUGUUGCGGUCACUUAUAGAUGGAUCCGCGCCGCAUUAGCUAGUUGGUAAGGUAACGGCUUACCAAGGCGACGAUGCGUAGCCGACCUGAGAGGGUGAUCGGCCACACUGGAACUGAGACACGGUCCAGACUCCUACGGGAGGCAGCAGUAGGGAAUCUUCCGCAAUGGGCGAAAGCCUGACGGAGCAACGCCGCGUGAGUGAUGAAGGUCUUCGGAUCGUAAAACUCUGUUAUUAGGGAAGAACAAAUGUGUAAGUAACUAUGCACGUCUUGACGGUACCUAAUCAGAAAGCCACGGCUAACUACGUG